GCCAUCGGAUGUGCCCAGAUGGGAUUAGCUAGUAGGUGGGGUAAUGGCUCACCUAGGCGACGAUCCCUAGCUGGUCUGAGAGGAUGACCAGCCACACUGGAACUGAGACACGGUCCAGACUCCUACGGGAGGCAGCAGUGGGGAAUAUUGCACAAUGGGCGCAAGCCUGAUGCAGCCAUGCCGCGUGUGUGAAGAAGGCCUUCGGGUUGUAAAGCACUUUCAGCGAGGAGGAAGGCCAAUAACUUAAUACGUUGUUGGAUUGACGUUACUCGCAGAAGAAG
rnacentral:rRNA from 1 species